CUCCCGCAUUAAAAUUUCAUGGGCGCUGCAGCAGCUACAAAGACGACGCCGGCUGCGCUCGGGGGACCAGAGGGAGGGAGGCUGCGGACGAGUGCGGGGAGGAGUUUGCGAUGGGAGGCGCUUGCAGGGGCUCCCCCAGUUCUGCGCGGUGAGCCCGGGCACAAAGAGCCCUCUGCACUCGCGCCGCAGGACCGCGGAGCCGAGCGAGCUUACUUUACGCCAGCCUCUGCUUUGCCCGCAUUACCACAACAGUCCCACGAGCAGCAGCUCAGGGGCUCCCUUGUUUGAGGAAGAGUUGAAAUUCGAAUUUCGGAGUUCCUCUUUUGUGUAUGCCCUGCUUGCAUCUGUCCAGAAGCCGGGCUUUCUGCUGCUCUACAGACGCCUCUGUUUCCCUCGGCACGUCUCCUGCGCAUCUCGUUAUUCCUGGGAGGUUCCUGCUGUUUUGUCGCUGGGGGCACCUCCCUGCCCACCCACGUGGCUCCAGACGUGUCUACGUGCCUACCAUGACCCUGACCGCAUCAAAGGAGUAACCAAGGUGACCCUGAGAUAAUAGACACCGGCUUCAUGCUAUGAAGUCCCGUCUGUGUGGAAAGCCCCAGAAUCUCAGAGCAUCCAGCAAGCUCCUGGGAGAGAGGGAAGAGAAGGGGAGGAGAGAGAAGGGGAUUUCCGGAUUCUUCCUGAACAUUCGUGACCACCCUGGGCAGCAGCCUGACAGAUAAGUAUUCCAAUUUACCAGUGCCGCCCCCCCUCCCCCCACUGCCCCCCCCCUCCCAGGUCCGUGCACGAAAGCGUAGAAUCUCUCACAAUCCUGUGGGAGGGAAAUUGGCGAGGCCACUUUUCAACCCCUCUACGUCACAGACCAAGCCCUUGUCCCCAUUAUAUGGGGCCCCAGACAGGGGCGUUUCCACCCCGCUUUUUGGCACGGAAGCCAGCAUUUUGUCAGUUCCGCCACGAGGACCUUCUGUAGGCUGGAGUUUGGCGACCUCUUGAGUCCCCGUCGAUCUGGUGUCAGAAGGAGUCAGAAGGAGACUGGGGACUCCGGGCGGCUCUUCUCAGUUCCGGCCCUUUGUCAUCAUAUUUGUGAGACUUGGCCAGGGCCCCCUUUACCUGGCAGUUGGGCAGGGAGGCCAACACUGUGAUGAUGGGCCACGUUCUCCUCUCCGGGUCUGGACCCGUGUCCCGAGUCUCAGGUGCCUGUAGAGAGUGGUGGGCGCACACUGAGCCAUCCCCUGACUCUCCUGGCACGGGUCUGCCAGCUGAAGAAGAUAGCUUAGCUGUCACCAGGAGCAAAACCUGGGACAUGAUCCUGGGUCAGGGUUAGCAGGCCGACGGGGACAGAUGGGGGCAGAAAAAUAACUGAGGGUGAGUUGUAGCCCCCUCCCCCCCAUUUCCUGUCCACUGCCUCAAACUGUGGGUUAGUAUUGUGCACUCUGGGUGAACGCAGGGCUGGAAGGAUCCCAAGGCUCAGAGAGAGAGAGAGAGAAAGAGAGAGAGCGGGGCAGGCUUCCCAUGGCUACACAAGAUGGCAGAGCUGAAUCCGACCUCUGGAUCCCUGACUCUGGUCCCUGCCUCCACUCGGCUGUUGCCAAGCUGACCUUGCCUUACUUUGUCCUGGGUCCCCUUCUGCUGUUGCUGGGGAACAGGGAGGUGGGUGAAGGAGCCCCCCCCUUAUCCCGAGGACAUUCUGGGGUGGGAGGAAGGGAGGUGGAAGGGGGAUGUGCCUGGGCCCAGCCUCCCUGGCUCUGGGGGCCUUCUCGUUAGCAGAGAGUUCUGGCCAGUUCGGGCGUGGGGAGGGGGCCUGGGUGCAGUUUCCUCCUGCAGCGUGGUGGGCUUUUUUGUCUUCCAGGAUGGGAUCUACACGGAGAAGGAGCCGGGAGCUGGGCCUGGGCUGCCAACAUGUUGUCUGGGUGCAGCCAGGUGGCUCAGCCCGGCCCCGUCUCCAGGACUCCUGCCUGGUCUUCCCUUUGGAGCCCUGGUGACUCUGGACUCUGGCCACAGUGACGCAGGGAGCAGCCUUUGGUGGUUUUCUCGGACUCUGGACAAGUCCCCAAAGCCGUCAUCCUUCCACUGAGAUAAAGGCCCCUCCUGGCUGGCGCCCGGCUGAGGACAGGCCGUAGCUCCGGAGGACAGCCCGAGGGAGGGGUGUGAGGGAGCCUGGCUGCCCACUGCCCCUCUGUGUCCCACCUGGACCCCGCCUGUUGGGGCACCUGUUGCCGUCUGGGCCCGGAGGCUGCUUCUCGACCCUGUGCCGACUGGAUUCCUCUCUGUGGCCCUGCCGGUGGCCAGCCGGAGCCCCGCCUGGGCCAGGGCCCCACUGACUGCACCCUUGCCACAGCUGGACGCUACAGGAUGGUGCAGGGACACAGGGAUGGGCGUUGGGGUGGAGCUGCAGGGAGGACAGACAGCUUUGUGGGCUCCGUCAGCUGGAGUCCGUCUUGCGUCCUUUGCCUUGAGUGGUUCUCAUUUUUGUGGUGCUCUUUGGAUGAGGCUUUUCUGCGCUUCUCCUCUGCCUCACGGUCGCAGGGAGGAGGCGGGCAGGGUCUGGGAGGAGCCCGAGCCUCCCCCCAGUGUUGUUGAGGUCUUGGAGGGGGGCAGUUGGAGGGGCAGAAGGUGCCCGAUCCUGAAAGGGGAGGGUUUGCAAGAGAUGAGGAAGCCCAGGCCAGGAGGGAGACGACAAACUGAGCCUUAUUCCCACUGUCCAAAGGGCCCGGGCUGGAUCCAGCCUUGUCCCCAGGCUUGAGGGGUCGGGUCGGCCCGGCCUGAUGACAGACCCCCUGUUUGCUGUUGCACUCGUCUUUCAUUCUGUCCUGGGGGGGCAAAGGCAGGCAGGGCGGGCCCCACGCACACGCGGCACCCCCCCCCCCCCCCCCCCCCGCCCCAUCAAAGGCUUACCUCCACAAGCAUCUCUCCAUUCUCCCCUCGUUCUGGCCCCUCUGGAGGGGACGGUCUGGUGCCUGCACAGGAGCGGCCUGUGGCCUUCCAUAGGCAAGCUUCAAAGCUGGGAGGGCUUUUCCCGGGGUGGAGAGGGGGCCUGUGUUAGCUCGAGCCGCUGUCACAGGAUAGCGCAGCCUGGGUGGGGCGGGGCUCAAACAGCAGAAAUGUGUUUUCUUAUAGUUGUGGCAGCUGGAAAGCCAAGAUCAAGGUGCCACGGUUGGCUUCUCCUGAGGCAUCUCUCCUCGGCUUGCAGAUGGCCACCUUCUCGCUGUGUCCUCACGUGGCCUUUUCUCUGUGCACAUGUAUGGGGUGGGCGGGGGGGAGCGGAGUGAGGCGGAGGGACAGAUGUGGUGUCACUUCCUCUUUUUAUAAGGAGGCCGGUCCUAUCUUAUUAGGGUCCCAUGCUUAUGGCCUCGUUGAACCUUAAUGUCCUUGGUAAAAGCCCCAUCUCCAAAUAUGGCUACACUGGGGGUAGCCAUAUGGCUUCAACCUACGAAUUUGGGGAGGGGGACACGAUCCAGUCCAUACAGGUAGUCACGGCAAAUGUGGAAAGUGGGAGCCAUCUUCCCUCCGGCAUCCCCAGCGCCACGGGGCGGGGAGCGGGGGGCAGAAAGAGCAGAGGAAUGGGGAGUAGGGACAGAGUGCAAGGGGCACCAGGCUGGAUGGUCCCCGUGCCUUGGCGACACACGGAACUGGCUGGACCAGGGCAGCAAGAGAGAGUCCCAGGAGGAGGAGGGCCUUGGAAGAGCCUGGGCUUUGGAGCCCAAGGCUGCAUCUCUGCCACUUAACCUUGGGCACGUGACCUCAUCUCUGCGAGUCCGAUGUCUACUCUGAAACAGCAGCCAUCUGCUCAGCUGGGGCGGUGGGGGGGGGGGGGCUGGCGUGCAGGGAGGGUUCAGUGUAGGCCCCUGCCUGCCCAGGGCUGGGCUCCUGGCCGGUUGCUCACGAUACACUCCCCUCGCUUUCGGGGUUUAGAUUUAGGGCUUGUGGAGUUUUGGUGCCCUGGAGGUGCCAACCCAGCAUCUUCUGACCCAGAAGCACUUCCAUCUGACUAGCCCUUCCCCUGCCAUCCAUCUCGAAUCAGCUUGGGGAAGUGGCUGCACUGCAUGGCCUUCGGAGUAGCUCCGAAUGCCUCCCGGGGUAUCCUCUUAUCAGGAUUGAGCACCUACUCUGGGCCUUUUUCUGUGCUGGUCGCUUGCAGCGGCGGGGGGUGGGGGGGGGUGGGGGGUGGGAUAUAGGUGAAGCUCUGGCCGUGAUUGAAACCUUCAGGAUUGCACGGCCACGGAAUUGGAAUUGGGAGAAUCGGAGAACGGGGCAGAGAACAGUCCACUGAGGCACGGGUUCUGAGUGCUUGGGGGGAUGGGGGUGGGAGUAAGAUGCCAGAAUGACUUGCACAGACUUCAAACCAGGGCCUUGAAGGAUGAGAAAGAUGUGGCUCAGCUGACAGGUUCCAGGUCCCUGGAAGAGAUUCCCAAAGUCAGUCCUAGGAGAUCCCAUUGCUCGCUCUCUCUCUCCCUGUCUCUCUCUCUCUUUUAAAGUGAGUUCAAGUGCAACAGGUUUCUAGAAUGCAGGACUUAUCAGAGCCUUGCAAGCGCUGAUGGGAAUUGUGAGUCCUCAAGGGCAGACAGGACUCUGUGUCCUCCCCCUUUAUGGCAACAGAACCCUUUUCUUAUGGAGCAUCGUUUAAGACUGAGGGGGCAGGAGGCUGGGGCUCUUGGGGCUCAGAAUGGGGACACCACAGCAGGGAUAGGAGAUGAUAUAGCUCGGCACACUCAGGGGCUCUGUAGGACCAGCUGGAAAGGCAGCAGACAGGAGGGGCGGGGGAGUGGGAACUGGGUUCCAGGAGUCAGGUGAGCUCUAUGUAGUUUUGGUCUGGCCGGAGAUGGCGGGCGGGCGGGGGGGGGGGGGGUGGAGGGCAGGCCAGUGGCUGGGGUAGCCGGCAUCCUGGCAGGUGGUGGAGGAUGUGGUGCCUCUGGACUUAAUGCCACUGGGAAGACGCUGGUGUGUGCGUGCCUGAGUGUGACAGGAUCCAGCCUUCUGGGAAGGGGCUGACCAGAACCAGGCAGGGGUUUCCAGCCAGGACGAGCAGGUUCUAUUUUCGGGGGACCGGACUGUUCUGAGGGAGGAGGCCCGCGGCCAAGCAAAUCGGGAAGCCAAAUGCUUUGGGGCAGGGUCCGCGGGAUGGGCUCGAGUGUGGUGGUGCUGAGGAGCUUGGAGGCGGGCCCCUGCCCUGGUCAGGCCCAGCUCGCUGGCUGGUGGGGGGGGGGCGGUGGGGGCUCGGGAGGCCUCUGGAGCUGCAGCCGAGCGGCCGGGGCUGUGAUGCAUGGUGUGAUUAACCUACUAACCCAGGGCUCGGCCGGGACGCUGUGGCGUGUGACGAGGUGCCUGGCCUUCUGCCAACCAACUAACCCACUAACCAGGCCCGAGCAUGCCCUACUAACCCCCCGCAGCCCGACCCUACUAACCUGGCAGCUCAUGGGCCUUCCAAGGGGCUGGGACGUGGGGGCAGACGAUGCUCCAGAAGGCCCUGCCCAGUGGCCUGGGAUCUCUGUGCAGACCCGCAUUGCGGGACGGGGCAUGCAAACAGGACUCGCCAACUCUGCCAUUUCCUGCUGAGCCAUUUUGAGCAAGCCACCUCACCUCUCUGAACCCCUUUCCUCAGCAGCACAAUGGGAGUACUGAUUUUCACCUCAAAGGCUGCAGCGAAGAUUCCCAGGAAUGUAAAAAUUCUUGAGACGUGGCAGAUGUUUAAAAAAUAUAUAAGGGGCGGGGGCGGGGGGCGUGGAGAGCCCAGAAAACCCGACUGAUCAUAUCCCCUGCCUAGGCCCUGGUCCCUCUGGGGAGUUCUGCACACAGACCCCCCCUGCCUGGGGCCAGACUUUCGCUUUGAACCCUGUCUCUUCCCCACAUUCUUCCUCCUUCUCAGCUUUCUUUCCGUAGGCAGCUCUUUUGUUCAAUUACUAACCUGUCUAACCCGGGGGGGGGGGGGCCUCAACUGCACCCCGACUGCCCCUUAACCGACUAACGGACCUGUGUGUGUUCUUCCUUUUCUCCUAGUGACUCCUGUGUGUGUCUGCUGAGGUGCCCCCGUCCGCUGGUGCUGUGCUCUGACUUACUAACCCGGCCCCUACUAACCUGGUUUUCUCUUCUUACUAACCCCAGCCCUGCCGAGCUCUGGGCGCCCCUCCUUUUGGCAAGCAGAGGUCCUGGGGCUGGUCCUGCAGACAGGUGCCUCACUUUGCCGCCCCAAGAGGCUGGGAGUUCGGAGUCCACUGGGUCAGGUCUAAGGCAGGGGACAGCCCUAUUCAGCCACGCGAGUGGCCUAGGGGAGGAGGCGGUCAUGGGGAGAUGGGAGGCUGGCCUCUGAGCAAGAGAGAGCGUCUCUCUGCGCAGACGUCUGGUGGCCACUGGGAGUGGGCGGGGCCAGGGAAGCUUCUGGGGUGUGAGAGUGGAGGCCUGCGUGUCUAGAACACGGAGUCCUGGGCUUUUCCCGCCAACAGGCAGAGAGAUGGGGCCUGUGUAGCCCUCUUUGGAGGGAAGUGAGGACAGAAUUCUCCCCCCUGGAAAGCACCAGGUGGAGGCACUGUCCUGCACCGGAAGUCAAUGGGGGUGCGUGUCGGAAGUCAGCGAAGGGGGCGGGGCCCACACGGGAAGUCAGGAAGCGGAGCCUUCCCCUACACAGGAAGUCAACGAAAGGGGCCUCUCCCACACUGGGAAUCCCUGAGUAGAGCGUUCAGUACGGGAAGUCGGCCAGAGGGGCGUUUCUCACACCGGAAGUCAGUGAGAGGGACGGCCCACCUUAUCACCAGGCAUGAGAGGGAAUGACCGAGAUCAGCGAAAAGGGCCUUUCCUACCAGGGCAGUUGGCUGGAGGGGCCCUUCCCCUCUCUGAAGCUGGGUUGGAUGUGGGCCAGCCAGAGGUAGAUGUGGGCCAUUGUUUCACAUCGGAAGUCAUCGAGGAGUGUGUCCACACCAGCGAGCUUGAGAAGGCAGGGAAGAAAACAAAUCUGCCCUGGGUUCGGGGUUCACAGGAAGAGGAAAUGGGAAGCAAGACGUGAACCCCAGGGUCCCGCAAGGUCCUGCCGUCCCUCAGGCCAGCCAGAAGUUCAUCCCGGGCUCCCUGUCAUAUUCCCACCCAUGCCCCUGCCCCGGCUUGCCUUCCCCAGAGCCCGCCAGCCGCUAAAGCCAGGGCCACACCUGGGGGUGAUUUUAUGCCUCACCUCCAGUAGGCACCUUGGUCUGUCUCUUUGGGCUAAUCUCUGGCUCCUUUGCACUAACUCUUGCUCUCACCCAGCUAAUCCCUGCCUCGCCCUGGCUGCCCGGCGGGGGUGGGGGUCGGUGGGGGAGAGGGUUGCCCACUAACAGCCAACCCUGCCCAGCUGGGGGCUCCAGGCUCCUGGCCUGGCUCUGACCGGCUCUUAAUUAACCUCUCCUUCACCUUGACUAACUCCUGCCCUCCUGGUCUGUUCCUUUCAGCGAAAACUAACGGCUUGUGGAUUUCUUCCUGACUAACAACAGGUCUAACACUCCUUGUUACUGUUACUAUUAACAGCUUGGAUGUCGGCAUGGCUGGGAUGGGGCUAACACAGGUUUGGAACUUGACUAACCCAGGGGGAGGUGUAGCUAGCGGUGCUGGGCUUGGUGUCUGUGCUGGUCAGAGCAAUCUGUAGUUCAGGAGAGGUCGAAGGACUCUGAAGGAGGUGCUAGGGCUGGGAUGUGGCUCAGGUGAUGGCGGAGUCGUACCCACUGAGGGUAGGGUCAGAAGCAAAUCAGCCUUCCAGGGUUUUAGCCACUGGACCUCUCCUGCCAACCUCUAACAAUCUGCAUUUGGGUUUCAGUUCUUUUAAAUAGCCUUAUAGCUGCCAUAGUCCAAACGGGUGGAUUCAGCUCUAGUGAACUUCAAAAUACCUGUCCAGUCCAUACAGAGGAUAUGCCAUUAUGCGUGGAAUGAUCGGUCACCAGGCCAGGGCUCCACUUGAGGCCUUGAUCUGGGGGCUUUAGAGUUUUGGAAGUGCCAGGACAUAAAGCUUUAGAUGUGAGUAUUCAGAAGGGUUCAGAUUCCAUCACCCACUUACACCUUAGUGUAAAUUAGUCCAGGGUCGUCGUCUUCUGUCUUUUAUGCAGUGUAGCUGCACUGAGAUAUGAUUUUGGCUGGAAAGGAGCUUGGAUUGCUUCAGGGCUGGGGGGGAGGGGUGGUCCUUUGGGAGCAGAGAAGGGGAGCCACGGGGCCAGGGGAUCCUGGGUGGGGGUAAACGCCAGCAUCCGGUGGAGAUGGGACCAUUUUGCUGAUCUGGUCUGGUAGUCCGGUUCUGUGGGAGAGGGCAGCUCAUGGCUGACUUGGAGGGUUGGGUCAGCUCAGGCACGGGGUCAGAGGCUGGCCUUGAGACUUGCAGGCAGGUUGCUUGGGUUAUGGGACACUGGCCUGGGGCCAAGAGCCUGACAGCCAUGGGCUCAGAGCUAAGCUAGUGAAGCCAGCAGUGGGGAGGAAGCACCUCCCUGCUGCCCUCUAGUGGCCGCCUCCCCCCAUUUUACUCGAAGCAGGAAGUUCAGGCAACUGGCGUUCUGGAAUUUCUCUUUACUCCACUACAAAGAUCUGUUGUUGCUGAGGACCUACCGUGUCCCCAGCAGUGCUCUGGGUCCUGGGACCCACCUACGGGCCCUUCCGUCCGGUGCUUGUAUCGCUCACUGGGGAGGUUGGAGAAGUUACCGUGUAAUGUGACCGGCGCUGUGAUGGGGGGCGGGGCUGUGGAAGAAGCACCCAGGAGGCAAGCAAGGAUGCUGUGCACCUAGUCCGUGCCAGGCUAGGUGCUCGGCGUUGGGGAGGAGCGCUGAUGAAACCAUCCCCGCUUCAGGAUAUUUCGUGCGGGUGUAUAGCGGGGGCGGGGGGGUAGAGUGGAGUGUAGGCAGUCCCAGCAGGCUUUCUGAAGAGGGAGGCACCUAAGCUGAGCCCUGGUUGGAUGUGGUGGGGAUGAGUUCCGGGUAGGAGGAAUGGCAGACGCAAAGUUCUGGGGGGAAAUCAGAGAGGAUCGAGGAGGUUCUGGAAGGUUCAUGGGGGAUGUAGCAGGAGGCAGAUGGGAAAUGGACAAGUACCAGGCCGUGUUGCCAAGGAGAUUGGGGGUUGCCCUAAGGGCAAUGGGGACCUAUGGAUGUGACCUCAGGAGGGGAGGAGUUGCAUUUGGCUUUUAGGCUGGCAGCUUGGCUAUUUCAGCCCAGAUGGGAUGUAUGCGGCUCCUGGAGAGGAUCCGAGGGGAUGUGCUCACGGGCUGUAAGUCAACAGGAGACCCUCACUUGUCCCGUGUGGCUGAAGGGGGACACGCACGUGUGGAGUAAGCUUCUGAGAGGCUGAUCCUGGUUCCAGCGAAGGAAACUUGGUGUGGCGGGUAACACAUCUUCUGGAGGCAGAAGGAUAGGGACUAGGCCACCUUGGAGACUGAGACUUUGAGACUCUCACUGGCAGUGAGAGUCCAGGAUUCCGCGUGCAAGUGUGCAUGCGAUUGCGCAUGCGUCCCCAGUAGGCGCGGUCUGUUUACCUCCCGACCCGGCCCUCUGAUGGUCACUCUGGCGUGAAGUCCCCUGAACAUCAAGCUUGUGAGGAGCAGGACAUUAUGAGCUAGGGGUUAGCGGCAUACUGAGCUCAGGGGGUACCCGGGGUGGGUACUGGUCCCAUCUCAACAAGGGAUCCCAAAGGCCCUUCCCGAGAGUCUAUCCAGGGACCCGUUGUUUUGCUUUGACCAGAGAAGACGUUUUCCAUGUGGGGUUGCUGAAUGUGGGGGUAGAUAGCCUGCUACAGAUUAAAGACCAGAGUUUUACCUGGAUCCAACAAUGGAGGGUGAACUUGGCUUUUUGUUUUUACCCAUGACCGUGGCUUCUGUGUACGUACCAUUUUGAUAUUAAAAGCCAACUUACACCCAAAGGAUGGCUGCUGCUUAAGAGACAGGAGGGCUGCGUGCCUGGUUCGGGGGGAGGACGGAGAGCCAGGGGCACUUUGGAGGAGCUGAAGUGCGUUCUCAGCCUUGUCUCGAGACUGCGACUUUAGAAAUCAAAACAGGAGGACAUUUAUCUUGAUUUUUCAUGGGGGGAAAAUACAACAGAUAAUUUGUCAUCUUAACUGUGUUGAGUGUAUAAUUCGGUGACAGUAAAUAUAUUCGCAUUGUUGUGCAACCAGCA